rnacentral:rRNA from 1 species
AUGCAGUCGAACGAUGAAGCCCAGCUUGCUGGGCGGAUUAGUGGCGAACGGGUGAGUAACACGUGAGUAACCUGCCCUUGACUCUGGGAUAAGCCCGGGAAACUGGGUCUAAUACCGGAUAGGAACGCCUAUCGCAUGAUGGGUGUUGGAAAGAUUUUUCGGUCAUGGAUGGACUCGCGGCCUAUCAGCUUGUUGGUGAGGUAAUGGCUCACCAAGGCGACGACGGGUAGCCGGCCUGAGAGGGUGACCGGCCACACUGGGACUGAGACACGGCCCAGACUCCUACGGGAGGCAGCAGUGGGGAAUAUUGCACAAUGGGCGAAAGCCUGAUGCAGCGACGCCGCGUGAGGGAUGACGGCCUUCGGGUUGUAAACCUCUUUCAGUAGGGAAGAAGCGAAAGUGACGGUACCUGCAGAAGAAGCACCGGCUAACUACGUGCCAGCAGCCGCGGUAAUACGUAGGGUGCGAGCGUUAUCCGGAAUUAUUGGGCGUAAAGAGCUCGUAGGCGGUUUGUCACGUCUGUCGUGAAAGUCCGGGGCUUAACCCCGGAUCUGCGGUGGGUACGGGCAGACUAGAGUGCAGUAGGGGAGACUGGAAUUCCUGGUGUAGCGGUGGAAUGCGCAGAUAUCAGGAGGAACACCGAUGGCGAAGGCAGGUCUCUGGGCUGUAACUGACGCUGAGGAGCGAAAGCAUGGGGAGCGAACAGGAUUAGAUACCCUGGUAGUCCAUGCCGUAAACGUUGGGCACUAGGUGUGGGGACCAUUCCACGGUUUCCGCGCCGCAGCUAACGCAUUAAGUG